rnacentral:rRNA from 1 species
UCCGUAUUUGUAAAUCUUGGUCCGGAUUUAUUGGGCGUAAAGCGAGCGCAGGCGGUUUUUUAAGUCUGAUGUGAAAGCCUUCGGCUCAACCGAAGAAGUGCAUCGGAAACUGGGAAACUUGAGUGCAGAAGAGGACAGUGGAACUCCAUGUGUAGCGGUGAAAUGCGUAGAUAUAUGGAAGAACACCAGUGGCGAAGGCGGCUGUCUGGUCUGUAACUGACGCUGAGGCUCGAAAGUAUGGGUAGCAAACAGGAUGAGAAACCCUUGUAGUCC